UGAAGAGUUUGAUCAUGGCUCAGAUUGAACGCUGGCGGCAGGCCUAACACAUGCAAGUCGAACGGUAACAGGAAGCAGCUUGCUGCUUUGCUGACGAGUGGCGGACGGGUGAGUAAUGUCUGGGAAACUGCCUGAUGGAGGGGGAUAACUACUGGAAACGGUGGCUAAUACCGCAUAACGUCGCAAGACCAAAGAGGGGGACCUUCGGGCCUCUUGCCAUCAGAUGUGCCCAGAUGGGAUUAGCUUGUUGGUGAGGUAACGGCUCACCAAGGCGACGAUCCCUAGCUGGUCUGAGAGGAUGACCAGCCACACUGGAACUGAGACACGGUCCAGACUCCUACGGGAGGCAGCAGUGGGGAAUAUUGCACAAUGGGCGCAAGCCUGAUGCAGCCAUGCCGCGUGUAUGAAGAAGGCCUUCGGGUUGUAAAGUACUUUCAGCGGGGAGGAAGGUGUUGCGGUUAAUAACCGCAGCAAUUGACGUUACCCGCAGAAGAAGCACCGGCUAACUCCGUGCCAGCAGCCGCGGUAAUACGGAGGGUGCAAGCGUUAAUCGGAAUUACUGGGCGUAAAGCGCACGCAGGCGGUCUGUCAAGUCGGAUGUGAAAUCCCCGGGCUCAACCUGGGAACUGCAUUCGAAACUGGCAGGCUUGAGUCUUGUAGAGGGGGGUAGAAUUCCAGGUGUAGCGGUGAAAUGCGUAGAGAUCUGGAGGAAUACCGGUGGCGAAGGCGGCCCCCUGGACAAAGACUGACGCUCAGGUGCGAAAGCGUGGGGAGCAAACAGGAUUAGAUACCCUGGUAGUCCACGCCGUAAACGAUGUCUACUUGGAGGUUGUGCCCUUGAGGCGUGGCUUCCGGAGCUAACGCGUUAAGUAGACCGCCUGGGGAGUACGGCCGCAAGGUUAAAACUCAAAUGAAUUGACGGGGGCCCGCACAAGCGGUGGAGCAUGUGGUUUAAUUCGAUGCAACGCGAAGAACC
rnacentral:rRNA from 1 species